ACCCGCUGAACUUAAGCAUAUCAAUAAGCGGAGGAAAAGAAACCAACAGGGAUUGCCCUAGUAACGGCGAGUGAAGCGGCAACAGCUCAAAUUUGAAAUCUGGCGUCUUUGGCGUCCGAGUUGUAAUUUGCAGAGGGCGCUUUGGCAUUGGCAGCGGUCCAAGUUCCUUGGAACAGGACGUCACAGAGGGUGAGAAUCCCGUACGUGGUCGCUAGCCUUUACCGUGUAAAGCCCCUUCGACGAGUCGAGUUGUUUGGGAAUGCAGCUCUAAAUGGGAGGUAAAUUUCUUCUAAAGCUAAAUACUGGCCAGAGACCGAUAGCGCACAAGUAGAGUGAUCGAAAGAUGAAAAGCACUUUGGAAAGAGAGUUAAAAAGCACGUGAAAUUGUUGAAAGGGAAGCGCUUGCAGCCAGACUUGCCUGUAGUUGCUCAUCCGGGUUUUUACCCGGUGCACUCUUCUAUAGGCAGGCCAGCAUCAAUUUGGGCGGUUGGAUAAAGGUCUCUGUCAUGUACCUCUCUUCGGGGAGAACUUAUAGGGGAGACGACAUGCAACCAGCCCGGACUGAGGUCCGCGCAUCUGCUAGGAUGCUGGCGUAAUGGCUGU
rnacentral:rRNA from 1 species